rnacentral:rRNA from 4 species
GCCCCGAGAUGAGUUCUCCCUGAGACUUAGAGUCUCCUGAAGGAACGUUGAAGACGACGACGUUGAUAGGCCGGGUGUGUAAGCGCAGCGAUGCGUUGAGCUAACCGGUACUAAUGAACCGUGAGGCUUAACCUUACAACGCCGAAG